CCUAGCUUACCACUCAGUUUUCCAAUUCAUAGUGCAAGGUCGUAAUAAAGUUGUGAGAAACACAAGUUUGUUCGCGAGUUUAUGUGGGUACUGGGGCUACUGCAGUAACGGAUGGCCAACAAAACCACCCAGCACAACUCUGGAAGAGAGAGGAGGUGCUGAUUGAGAAGUAUGCUGCUACUUUUGUAGACGAAAAGCUGGUGCAUUUUAUAUUAUGUCAUCAAAGAAUGCUGAAAUCAUAACAGCAUUGCUUGGAACGUAUAGUUAAGUUCGACCCACAUGUUAUGCGGUAACCAAAGGCUUCGAAGCAGCUCACAGGUACGGCUGUGAUCUUCAACAGGUAUAGGUUGGGAUCUUUUACAAUUUGUAGUUGCAUACUUUAUUUGCCCUGACGUUGAUACUAAUGACAACGUUUCAGUUUAACGGCUCACUGUUCUUCAGGAUCUAGGAUGCACUCUGUCCUGUUGUUUGCGGCGGCUUGGGUUGCCUGCCUUGCAAAACUUCUGGAUGAGAACAUGACUGGAUCCUGGAGACUAUUUCUGCUCUGUAGUCUCCUGCAAGGUGCUGGGUGCAACGCUGCAGAAUUUGAGGCCCUAGUGCCAGCAAGUCUUACGACACUCAUUGGAUCCUGUGCUACCGUUCCUUGUUCCUUCACCGUGCCGGACCAGUAUAAAGUCAAUCUACAUCCUGGAUGUAUACCAACAUGGAAAAAAGAUCAAAUAACUAUCAGUGCUACAACAUUCAGGGGAAAUCUAACAGCGUACAACUGUACUACAACAUUCAAUAACGUACUUGAAGACAAUGUUCAAUAUUAUUUUAGAAUUGACUGUGGAAAUCCAUUAAAAUAUAAUUUUGCUAAAAACCCAGUGACCAUCAGGAU